GAGAGGAGCGUCCACUCUCACCACUCUCACUUCGUCCUGCUCUACACUGUGUGGGUUCUGAGGAGUGUGUCUGGCGGUGGUGGUGGUGGUGGUGGUUAUGUGCUGCUCCUGACAGUGGUGUGGUGCUCGCUGUGUGGUGGGUGAAGUGGACGUGGGUGGAGUGUUUCUGGUGGUGGUGAAAGAAGUGAGUACAAGUGGAUAUGUGGAUUAUUUGUGUACUGUUGAUUUACAUACGUGUGUGCUUAAGUGGACUCCUCAAAUACAUGACCUGCCUGCUGGUGAAAGUACAUUGAUAGUGCAUUGUGUGGUGUCAUGAGUUGCUGGAUGCGGGGCAGAGUUGCGAACACCUGCGAAGAAUUGCUUAUACGUAUCGACGAGUCAACACAAAGUAAACACGAUGAACACCUGCUUUGUCUCCAUCAACUUCAAAACCUGCUGCUUCCUAAGAACGCUCAAAGAAAUUAAAGAAAACAGAUGAUGUGAGGAGAGACAGACAGACAAGUGCUUCGUCUUUCUCCUGCCCUCACCUGCAUGGCCGUCUACCUGCGCUUUGGAACUGAACCAGACAGACACAACAGCAACCAGUCCCAAACCUUCACUGCGCCAUCCCGACCAGCACCGGUUCAAAGAAAUGCCAGAUCGAGGAAGAAGGGCGAGGUGUUGUGUUCAUGUAGCAGGUCGUGGCGCCAUCUUUUGCUGUGAGGAUGAACUAGACUACAAUGGGUGACUGGCUGAGAUAACGUUCAUUUUUUGCUUUUAUUUUGCUCUUUUUAUAACCCUAGAGUUAAGGACGCUGGCUUUUUCCUUCUGUGUUGUUAAAUGAGGUGUUUGACAUAUGGGUGUAAGCAGUCAGAUUGAUGAAUAGAAGCACUGUGUGUGUAUGGAUGUGUGUGUACUUGUAUCUUUUACUUCAGGACCUUCCGUAUGUUUCUUUUUC